AUACGAGGGGUGCAAGCGUUAAUCGGAAUUACUGGGCGUAAAGCGUUCGUAGGCGGUUUGUUAAGUAAGAUGUGAAAGCCCUGGGCUCAACCUGGGAACUGCAUUUUGAACCGGCAAGCUAGAAUACUGUAGAGGGUGGUGGAAUUUCCAGUGUAGCGGUGAAAUGCGUAGAGAUUGGAAGGAACAUCAGUGGCGAAGGCGGCCACCUGGACAGAUAUUGACGCUGAGGAACGAAAGCGUGGGGAGCGAACAGGAUUAGAAACCCGAGUAGUCC
rnacentral:rRNA from 1 species